rnacentral:rRNA from 1 species
GAUGAACGCUAGCGGCAGGCCUAACACAUGCAAGUCGAACGGUAACAUAGAGAAGCUUGCUUUUCUGAUGACGAGUGGCGCACGGGUGCGUAACGCGUAUACAAUCUACCUUUUACAGGGGGAUAGCCUUUAGAAAUGAAGAAUAAUACCCCAUAGUAUGUAGUUAUCGCAUGAUAAUUACAUUAAAGAUUUAUCGGUAAGAGAUGAGUAUGCGUCCUAUUAGCUAGAUGGUGUGGUAACGGCACACCAUGGCAACGAUAGGUAGGGGCCCUGAGAGGGGGAUCCCCCACACUGGUACUGAGACACGGACCAGACUCCUACGGGAGGCAGCAGUGAGGAAUAUUGGACAAUGGGCGAGAGCCUGAUCCAGCCAUGCCGCGUGCAGGAAGACUGCCCCUAUGGGUUUAAACUGCUUUUAUACAGGAAGAAACCCAUCUACGUGUAGGUGGCUGACGGUACUGUAAG